AGGCAAUGUCUCUUUAAGAUGCUUAUGCUUAACAUGACUCAGAGCCUUAAAUGCUCAGUUUGAGGGAUAGCAGUGUAGUCAGGCCUCAUGCCCCAUUUCCUCCUUCAUUAAUUUUUGCUAAGGGGGGAUUCUGACAUGAAGGGGAGAAGUCCUAGGGCUGCGCACAAUGCCUUGCCCAUAUUGUGAUACAGAGCUGCCAGAUGCUUCCUCCAAAGGAGUGAUGAAGGUCAGUGGGAUAUGCGGCUAAAGAAUGACUUCUGUAAUCAAGUGGUUGAAGGCCUGGGAAAAUCUUGUCACUUGGAGAGCAGUCGGCACAGAGGCUAGGAAGAGAAGAGGCCAAGAGCAAGGAUUUAUCAGUAUCCAAGCAGCACUUUAAAG
rnacentral:lncRNA from 1 species